GGAUCUUUACUUAGCCUCCAUCACCUCUGCGGCUCUUAGUGAGCCUUGACAGUGCUCAAAGUUCUCCAGGCGCCCAAAGCGUUCCCCACAGACCCUCACAACAUACAUGAUGCCAUGAAAGCAUGUAGAAUAGGGUUGCCAUGUCGACCUGUCAGUCAGGAGUCAGACGCUGCUAACAGUUGAAAUGCUGAAAGUGUAAAGCACAUACACAUACACAGACGCACACACAUACAUAAAAAGCAGGCCUCUCUCGCUCUGGUAAACAGCAGGCUGUGUGUCAGAAGAGUAGCUGUAGAUGAAGUGAACAAAAGGAAGAGGAGCCCACGUGUGGAAGGGAAGGGUGGAAAAGCAGCUAAUGCUCCCUUUUUAUCUUCUCCCGCUCUCCUGAUAAAGAAUAUAAAGCAUAUUAUAGAUUAAUAAUGCAUGCCGAGUUCACAGCCCCUCUGUUUUGUUUGCAUCUACGCAGCAGUCGCUGUAAAUACGUUGGAAGAUGUUUACAGAGGAAACAGCGCACCUGGCUUUAAAGGUUAAAUCAAAUCCGAGUCAAAGAGGGUUGAACUUGCUCCGUGUCCCCCAGGGAAGCACGGAAAGGUAAAGGGAAUUAAGACACAUGCUGUUCUACCAGAGAGGAAACUUCACAGUUCCCGGCAAUGACAGCCCCGUCGAUUCACACUCGCACUGAUUCAAUUUUCAUCUUUUUGCUUACUAGCAGCCAAAAAGGAAUAAAUACGCUGCUGGCUGUUUGCUGAUUAGCUUGAAAUAUAAAAUUGAGCCGGCGUAAAUGCUGCAAAAUACCUGCAAGUAAAUGAGGCCAGUUUGCUCCAAAAUAACUGCUGCGUUGACAGUUUUUGGUAAUGAUUUUUGCUAGAAAUAAGCAUUUAAGCAUUUACAGGGCCAAACAUGAAGCAGAUAUUUAGAUCUGCCCAUAGGUGAGACAUGCAUGAGUCUAGUUUUGUAGAACUCUCAAGACAAGCUUUUUUGGGCACUGACCAUAUUAAAUAUUUUGAAAAAGCGGGGAAGGUUGCAAUAUGUAAAUAAAUGCUCAGAGCUGAAACAUUUUUUCUAUCCAAACUGUAUUGGAUAAAAAUGUAAUAUAUGUAAAACUUUUAGUUAAUAUUUUGCUUGAAAUAAGUAAGUUAUAAUUAAGCAACAAUUUUAAUGCUUUGUUUGAAAGUGCCAAACGUGCUAAAAUAAAUAGCAACAGCCACUUUCCCAUUCUAUGGCUAGAAGGGAUACAGCCAAACUAGGCAUGCGCAACACAAUAACGCAUAAUUUUUGUUUCGCUGACAACAUUUUUCUUAUUAUUGUAUGUUUAGGGUUUGGUAGUUGUAGGAGUUAGCUGAUGUAAUUUAUUGAAUUUUUAUGGCGAGAUUUUGCAUCACUUCUGGCCGUAGCUGUAUCACAUUUAGCCACAACUACUUCCCCCGACAGCGUCCUCCGGGAAAUUACGUAAUUUUGGCGGAGUAAACCACUGCGUAUAGUAAUAAGUAUUAGCGAUGUUUUUAUCAGGUAUUUUGGUGGACUCGCUUUUAGUACUUCGCCUCUAAAUCGAAAUUCCCCCAUGUUUUACGCACACUCUAACUGGAUAUGGUUUUCUUCUUGAAGAAUAAUUAAGUUGGAGUUAUAUAAUAACGCGUAUUUUAUUUACUGCCAAGCGGUAGAAUAGGAGUGAAUGGGUGUUGACUUUUUGAAGCUCCAAAAAGUGCAUCCAUCGAUCAAAGAACUGCUCGACACGGUCUUAACAAAGGUCUUCUGAAGCGAAUCGAUGAGUUUGUUUAAGAUAAAUAUACAUAUUGACUGCGCCAUUAACGUGGAUGUGUAGCUUCCGUCAUCUCUCGAAUUCGCGUGAACCAAAGCAGAGGGUUGUUAGCUCCCGCUAGAGAAGAAAAUAAUGCAGCGAUCGUCACCGGAAUUUACGACAUGCGUGCGUCAUACGCCGGAAAACAAGCCUCUGGGUUAUGGCCCCUCGCUGCCUUGAGGUUUUCAUUUCAUAGGGUUUGACCUUUUUGACUCUGUCAUGGGGAGCGUUCAGAUGAUGUGGACUCAGGAAAUGGCUGGAAGUUCCAAGUGAUAAAUCGUGGCGUCAGAUGCUGCGCUUGACCCCAGACACAGACUACAGGGUCUCUCUUACCCCUCUGGCCUGUAGGUGGGGCAGUGGCACCACAUAAUGGCUUCUUUUCCACGCCAGGAAACAGCUGAGAUUGACUCACCUACAGGGCCAGAAGUGACUGAGCGCCUAUGGAAAGGCCCAAAUAAAUAGACCGGUGGCUCUUUCUCUCGGUUACCAGAUGUUCAAGCUCGUUUCCCUCCCAACGAGUCGCUGAUUUGUGAAAUAACUGGCAAAAAGAGGACAGGAGCGCAGGUGCAGCCGUCGCCCCCGCUCCGUUAAUUACUCCGGUAAACUUUUUAAUCACGGGAGUUUACGGGAUCUUCUACAAUGAGGUGGAGCUGACCCGCACCGUCUCUUUUCAGAGCCCAUUUCCACAGGAUAUUUUACAUGUUAAUUGUCUCGAAUGGCUCUCAGUCCUUUAUUCGCUUUCUUUUCUUUCUAUAGGUGUAGCCUGGAGCUGCGCCUCGGGCUCUUUUUCUCUCUCUCUCUUCAUUCGACAGCAGAAUAAAAAUGCUAAUUAUUAUAUGGCAACCGAGACCCUCGACAUAACCGAGCCCAUUUUCACGUGUUCUGCUGUUUUUAUUUUAAAUCAGAAAGUGUGGAUCACUGUCUUUGUUACAUUGAAUCACAAAGAACGAACUUUAGUACAAUAUAGCCUAUAAUAAUAAUACAUUUAAGAUAAAAAUGAAAAGUGUGAAAAGAUAACUCACGUUUAUAUAAUUUAUUAGAAAUACGAAAUAGUUUAAAUAUAAUCUAACAGGCAUAAAACGAAUGUCUCUUAAAUAAAUAACAAAAUAUAUCAAAAAGUAACAAAUAAAUACAAUUUAUAUUAAAAAGCAUACAACGCACGUUGACCUGUUUAAUGUCGUCAGCCAGCAUAUAAGGUUUGAAGUUAUUUCCAGAGAUUACAGAGCUGAAGUUUCUAAUUGUCACUGGAGUUGUAUUGGGACAUCUGCUCGACUGUAUCAAAGCCGACACGAGAGUCCCAGCGGUUGAGCAAAAAUCUGAGUUAAUUAGCGCGAUACAUGUUUAAUUAAAGCCAAUUACAAUAUCUAAAAUUACCUAAUCGAAACCUGUUUUCACUGUGAAGGUGCCCUCAGCACGAUCUGUUCACCGAGAAAUAACACAUGUGUUUUGCAGCACAUACAUUUUGUGUUCUGCAGCUAGAUGUUGUGUUUUUGUCUGGAAGUAAAAGCAUCAGCGGACACGACAGCUUGUGUCACGGGAAUGCAGUUUUUCUUUACAUCGUUUAAAAAGAAUAAUUCAUGAAUUUUAAACAUGUUUUGAAGUAGCCAAUGUUUAAUUUUAAUUAUCAAAAUAAAAAUGUGUUUGAUUGAUUUUGAAAAUGAGGUUUGCGCAAACCUUUAUUAUAGUGCACAAAACUUUUUUAUUUAUAUUUUGCAUCCGUUCCUACUUCAAACUAUGUUGUUUCCACAAAUAUUCAAUGCUCUUAGAAUGUAUAAUAAGUAAUUCCUCUACUUAUAAGAAAAGGAGACACUGAUUGGCUCAUGUUUAAUCGAUAUUAUACUUUUGCUUAAAGUUCUCGCUCAUUUAAUUGGAAAUCGUUGUGAAACGCUAUUCUGCAAACGUGUCGAAAGGAGGCGCUCUUUAUCAAAUUUAUCUCAAAGAUUAAAAACCGCUCCACCAAAAAACCUCAUGCACAGUUUCUCUCGGAAAAUAAAUUUCACGUUUAAUUUAUUUACUCUUAAAUUCGUCUUUGCAAUAUUUUGUAUUGUUGUGCAAUGUGUAAUCAACAACACAAUAAUAAUAAUAAAGAUAUCAGGUCUCGGUUUUAAAAUUAAAAUUAUUUAUUUGUAAAAAGCUGUUCGUAAAAACUAAAAACAGAUCGUUUCGGCACUUUUUGGUCGGUGCAAAUAUUUGAAUGAGUAAACGUUACAUUUAAAUACAUCUUUACUUCGAUCUGUUUGUCAAUUUUUUUAUGAAAAAUUUGUUAAAUUAAAUACACAAAAUUAUGCAUUUACCCUCAAUUUCAUAGCACCAGAAACUCAAACUGCUACGGAAACUGUCACUUGGUUCCAAUAGCAUUGCACUUAAUUCAUCAAGAAUUUAUUUGCCCAUAUUUUUCCCUUAUCUGAUCAUUAACUAUGCAAUUAGUUGUCAUGAUUAAGGGGAACAGAACAUAUGCAACAGUUUAAAGAUGCAAAGACGAAUGAUUGAUUCGCCCUGUUUGUCAUGCACUGACGUUUACGCAUCUUUGAUUUUCCUGUCUCUCUCCCUUUUCUUUGCCAUUCGCUUUAAAAUAAACACAGAACAAAUGCAAAAUUAUUUCGGAAGCUUAGAGAACUUUGUCUUUUGUUAAGAAAGCCGGAGACAUGAAAUGCAAUACUCGAAACGUAAACUAAUGUCUCCACAGCGGGAAAAACACUCCUUGUUGAUGCUCUGAACAGACUCGUUUGUUUUCUCACCAAGUCCAGACAGAUGCUUUUUACCGAGGUGCUUGAAAACAGUAUGAGUGUAGAACAUGAAAUGUACGUUUGGAUCUGGCAGAUUUAUUUUUAAAUAUCUUAGAUUAAUAUUCAGAAGACAAAUCGUCUUUCAUCUUGUAUUGGUGUGAGAAUCUCUUAGAGUAUAUGAUGAGCUGGUUCACGCCUUUCGGUACAUGACGCGCUCUCUGAGUGGUCAGUUGUCCGUUUUUUGUGCACUAGAUUUAGCCCGGAAUCUCACCACUGGUAAUUUAAUUUCAUGUCUCAAUGCCAAUAUCGGUGCGCACGCUUAUGUCAACGCUUUUCUGUGAUGCUGGAGACAGACAGGCCCUAUCAACACAACGAUUGAGGGGCAGAGUGUGACAUCUCACCCUCUCCAAACAAUUGUAUUUUAGCCAGCACAGCCAGGGAUCUCCAUGCAUCACAUAUAGUUGCUCUGGAGUUGUGCAGGUGCCCUCUCCGCCUCACACCGCUAAGAUUAAAAUGGGCUUUGAAUGAUUUGACCAUGUGCAAAGAUGCAAAUAGGAAAAUCCGCGUGUAUUUACGCGCUCGUGGUGCACUGGUAUGAUGCGUGGAGAGGACAUCUGGGCACUGGCCAUCUGACUGACUUUGCCUUGACAUCUGGGAAAGCCACUGGUGUGUGGCACGCGAAUCGGUUGAUGUCGCUAUUUAAAUGCAAAUUUGUUGGGGAUCAUUGGAGCUUCACCCCGUAAAUUCACACAAAAGGAACACUUCACACACAAUGAGGAGGAGGGUCGUUUCUUCGGGAGGUCCUGGCAACGCCGAACAAAUCUUAUUCAAACCCACACACACCUUCUGCAUGACUAACUUUUCUUUUGUCCCGCGCUCUCUGUUAGUACAUCUCCCCAAAUAAGAUCUAACACGGGCAGACAGAAUAGAGCUAAAUCCGCACCUUAAACAUGCACAGAAAUGGUAAAGCUAAACUAAAUAUUUUCCGCAUUUUUUUUUGUAAAAAAAUAAAUGCAGUCGUUUUUUAUUUUUGACUAGGCUAUAUUAUAAUUAUUAUUAUUAAAAAAAUCGCCUAAAAGACGAAUAAGAGUUUGUUGACAGUAUAUUCAUGUAAACAAAAUCAUUCAAACAUUAUUAAAGCUUCGCUUUUUAUCAGGACAUUUUCUAUAACAAAAACUGUCGUCUGAGCCUAAUCGCAGCCAGAUUUUUGUAACGUGCAUUAUCAAAUAAAUCAAAAUUAACGUGUCAUAUUUUUCAUUAUAUGUUUUUGUUUUGACAGAAAUCUGUCCUGCACUUUAUUUUCAAACGCUGCCUUGUAGAUGUCGAGUUCUGAAAGUGAAAGUUGGUGAAUUAAAGAGCGCAUUUUGCACGCUUUGGCUCCGGGGUCCAGAUGAGCCUCAGAAAUGAGCCGCGAUGGAUUCAGGCGAGCAGCUGAUUCUGUCG